rnacentral:rRNA from 1 species
AGUGAACGCUGGCGGCAGGCCUAACACAUGCAAGUCGAACGGCAGCACAGGAGAGCUUGCUCUCUGGGUGGCGAGUGGCGGACGGGUGAGGAAUACAUCGGAAUCUACCUUUUCGUGGGGGAUAACGUAGGGAAACUUACGCUAAUACCGCAUACGACCUUAGGGUGAAAGCGGAGGACCUUCGGGCUUCGCGCGGAUAGAUGAGCCGAUGUCGGAUUAGCUAGUUGGCGGGGUAAAGGCCCACCAAGGCGACGAUCCGUAGCUGGUCUGAGGGGAUGAUCAGCCACACUGGAACUGAGACACGGUCCAGACUCCUACGGGAGGCAGCAGUGGGGAAUAUUGGACAAUGGGCGCAAGCCUGAUCCAGCCAUGCCGCGCGGGCGAAGAAGGCCUUCGGGUUGUAAAGCCCUUUUGUUGGGAAAGAAAAGCAGCCGGUUAAUACCCGGCUGUUCUGACGGUACCCAAAGAAUAAGCACCGGCUAACUUCGUGCCAGCAGCCGCCGUAA